rnacentral:rRNA from 1 species
UACAGAGGUCUCAAGCGUUGUUCGGAUUCAUUGGGCGUAAAGGGUGCGUAGGUGGCGCCGUAAGUGGGGUGUGAAAUUUCGGAGCUUAACUCCGAAACUGCAUCCCAUACUGCGGUGCUUGAGGACUGGAGAGGAGACUGGAAUUUACGGUGUAGCAGUGAAAUGCGUAGAGAUCGUAAGGAAGACCAGUGGCGAAGGCGGGUCUCUGGACAGUUCCUGACACUGAGGCACGAAGGCCAGGGGAGCAAACGGG